GCUUGUUGUCACCAGGAACAAGUUGGAUACACAUUCCCCAGAAGUGCAAUAGGAUCCACUGCAGAGUGAGGGCGCGGAGAGUGGUGGUCAUGACGGGAUGAUCUGGGACUUAUGAGGAGCAGAUCCAGACUGAAGGACCUCAGAGCUACUGUGACAAAGCAAAUAUUGCUGUUAGUAAUGGUAACACAUGGCAACAUGACCUAUGAACAUGAAAGUAAUAUCACUUGCCAGGCUGGAAAUGAAGG